GACGAACGCUGGCGGCGUGCUUAACACAUGCAAGUCGAACGGUGAAGCGCCUUCCUUUUUGGUGGGUGUGGAUGAGUGGCGAACGGGUGAGUAACACGUGAGUAACCUGCCCCCUUCUUCUGGAUAACCGCAUGAAAGUGUGGCUAAUACGGGAUAUUCUGGGUCUGUCGCAUGAUGGGUCUGGGAAAGAUAUUGUUUCGGUGGGGGAUGGGCUCGCGGCCUAUCAGCUUGUUGGUGGGGUGAUGGCCUACCAAGGCGGUGACGGGUAGCCGGCCUGAGAGGGUGGACGGUCACACUGGGACUGAGACACGGCCCAGACUCCUACGGGAGGCAGCAGUGGGGAAUAUUGCACAAUGGGCGCAAGCCUGAUGCAGCGACGCCGCGUGAGGGAUGGAGGCCUUCGGGUUGUGAACCUCUUUCGCCAGUGAAGCAGGCCUGCCUCGUUUGUGGGUGGGUUGACGGUAGCUGGAGAAGAAGCGCCGGCUAACUACGU
rnacentral:rRNA from 1 species